GCAUGCCCCUACUUUAUUUCUUUUAUCAUUUGAUCACCGUUAGAAAAUUUUAGAAACUUGCAUAAUAAUUAAAUCGGGAAAAAUUAAUUAAUAGUCUUUCUUUAUUAAACUUAAUUAUUUCUGUACUUGAGAACGCCGUCUCCCUCUUCUUCCCAUUUCCUUAGAGGCCGCCCGAGGCAUCGCGGGGCGUGCCGGUCGGCCUUUAGCAUCUCCAACUUUAACAUCUUCCAUCUUUGGAAAUUUAAUACUUUAUUCGGGAAUUAUUUAAAUGAGUUCCAACUCAUCUUAAAUAAAUUCCAACAUAUUCAAUUCCAAGCUCUACAAAAUAAAUCUCGGUCCAACGAUUAAAACGAAGCAACCCACUUCCCUUGAUUAAUUAUAUGGGACUUAGUCCAAAUCCCCUUUGAAUUCACUUGGCCCAACAAUUAAAAAAAUUAAGGCAGCCCACUACACUUAUUUAAUUUACUAAGGCCCAAACCAAACAAUUAAAGUGGCCCAACCUUCAAUUAAUUUAGUGGUCCAACUAAUUAAAUGGAAAAGGCAUAAAGCCUAUCUAUACUCCUCCACUCAACCAUCGGUUCUCAUCUCUCUCUUUCCUCAAAAUUCCCAAUUCACUCUCACUUUUCCAAAUUAGGGAUUCAUAGAUUGAGAAGAAACAGUGGCAGUUUCUCCUUCCACAUCGUCUCUCUCUCUCUUCUCUUUUCUCCCUCGCCGCCGCCACCGCUGCGGAUCCGCUCCCGCCGCGGAUCUGCCUCAGCCGCCGUCGCCGAGGGCCUCCCCAGUCGCCGUGGAUCCCGCUAUCACCUCGUGCAGCUCCUCCCGCCGCCGUGCCAGCGCCGCCGCUCCGGCGGCGUCCCUCUCCUUCCUCUCGUCUCUGCUCACGCUGCUCACCCCCUCCCUAUCUGUCGCCGCUGCUGUGCAUGCACAAACAGCGGGUUCGUCCUCCUCCCCACGCCGUUGUUCCACGCGGUGGAAAACCCACCGCUGCUAUCCCGCUCUCCGUCGGUUCUCACCGUCGCCGUGUCGACAAGUAUAAUUUGUCAAGAUUUGAAUUUAUUGGAAGUCAUAGGGGUGUGGGGCUACCCCCGUCGUCUCCGAGCUGCCGUGAGGAAGUCGCUGGAAUCCGGCAGAUUUGUACACAUAAGAUAAGCUUUCUCAUUCUUUCUAGUUAUUAAGGCAGCAGGAUUCUAGGUUUGAUUCUGUUUACUGAUUUUGGUGAAUUGUGUGUAUAUGCCUGCUAUUUGGAAGACUCAAAGGUGAAAUAUGCUGAUUAAACUUGAUGAGCCAGAUUCUACUCCCAACCAUAUUUAUAUAUGCAUGCUCUUACAUAUCAGAAGGAAAAGAAAGUGUUUGGGAUUUACCUUUGAUGUGGAAAUAAAGUAUGGUUGGAUUGUAGUGCUUGACUCUAUAAUUGUAUGCAAAUCUCCCUCCUCGGACUCCUCUAUCCUAUGUGGUGUCGGUGUGUGCAGAGAAUUUAGAAUUUGAUGGUGAUAUGGGUGAGUGACAAAAAGAUUUGUAUAUAUAUACAUAUACACAAAAAGAUGGCAAGUGAAAGUGACGGUAUAGCAAGUUGGUGGAGCAAGUUCUUAUCUCAAAUAUCAUAUUCUUAUCUCAAAUUAAAUGAAGCAUUUAAUGUUUCUGAAAAGUUGAUCCUCUAGGAUAUGCUCUAUCCCUUUGUUUUUAUUUAUUUAUUUUAUUUUAUUUUAUUAUUUAAAUAAUUAAUUGAGUAUUUAUUUAAUUGUUUAUUUAAUUUGAUGUAGAUAUAAUUGGUUCAAGUCUGUGGCUGCCCGCGCUGAAGUACCCAAUUUGCUUAGAACGUACAAUGUAUUAAAUUUUGAUGGACUUUUGUUGGAUGUAAUGAACAUUAGAAUUUUGAUUAUGGUACUUUAUUUAUUAA